rnacentral:rRNA from 1 species
ACUCCCCAGGCGGGGUACUUAUUGCGUUAACUCCGGCACAGAAGGGGUCGAUACCUCCUACACCUAGUACCCAUCGUUUACGGCCAGGAUUACCGGGGUAUCUAAUCCCGUUCACUCCCCUGGCUUUCGCGCCUCAGCGUCAGACACAGUCCAGAAAGUCGCCUUCGCCACUGGUGUUCCUCCUAAUAUCUACGCAUUUCACCGCUACACUAGGAAUUCCACUUUCCUCUCCUGCACUCAAGAAAUGUAGUUUCCAUCCCAUCACGGGGUUGAGCCCCGAACUUUUAAGACAGACUUACAUUCCCGCCUGCGCGCGCUUUACGCCCAAUAAUUCCGGACAACGCUUGCCACCUACGUAUUACCGCGGCUGCUGGCACGUAGUUAGCCGUGGCUUCCUCCUCAGGUACCGUCAUUACUUAACAUUAUUCACAUUAAGCACAUUCGUCCCUGAAGACAGAGCUUUACGAUCCGAAAACCUUCUUCACUCACGCGGCGUUGCUCCGUCAGACUUUCGU